CAGGAUACUGCGAGUCUUCCAGGAAAACAGUUAUCAUUAGAGAGAGGAACUCGAAGGGUCACGUCCGACCUUCAGCUCACAGUGAAUGUGUUUUGGACCAAUCGCUGAUCAGGAGAAAUGGAAGAGACUUAGUGCUGCUGCAGUCUUCAAUAAAGUUGUUCUCUUUUGAGUGCUGCAGGUGUGGAUGGAGUCCAAGUAAAACAACAAAAACACAAACAGCUGUUUACGUGAGGUUAAGAAACAGGACAUUGCAUGAAAUGUUCCUUGCCAGCAUGAUGAAAAGUCUCUAUUGUGGUGCAUAACUUCUUAAUAUGGGCUGCUGAGGUCAGUACCAAUAAACUACACUUGAGAUGUGUAUUCAUAGUAUGCUACGGGCGAAUAAUAUAAGAGGAAAUCAUGUAUUCUGUAUUUACGGCUGUAUAUGCUGUAAAAAUCUGAAUUCUAAUUGGAUGAAGUUUCUUAGAAUGAUACAGAAUCAUCUUCUCCCUCACACAUACAAACAACUCCAGAGAUAAACAGCUGGACACAAUAAGCAGAAUCUCCUUCUGUCCUUCUUUCGACUGUUUUUCCACAGUAUUGUGUUUCACAAAGCACGCCGCUCACGUGAAACCUGUUUGGAUGUAUAAGCAGAUCUGAGAAACAGAAAGCCAGGAAUACUA